rnacentral:rRNA from 1 species
UGGGGAAUAUUGGACAAUGGGCGCAAGCCUGAUCCAGCCAUGCCGCGUGUGUGAAGAAGGCCUUUUGGUUGUAAAGCACUUUAAGCGAGGAGGAGGCUACUUGGAUUAAUACUCUAGGAUAGUGGACGUUACUCGCAGAAUAAGCACCGGCUAACUCUGUGCCAGCAGCCGCGGUAAUACAGAGGGUGCGAGCGUUAAUCGGAUUUACUGGGCGUAAAGCGUGCGUAGGCGGCUUCUUAAGUCGGAUGUGAAAUCCCUGAGCUUAACUUAGGAAUUGCAUUCGAUACUGGGAAGCUAGAGUAUGGGAGAGGAUGGUAGAAUUCCAGGUGUAGCGGUGAAAUGCGUAGAGAUCUGGAGGAGUACCGAUGGCGAAGGCAGCCAUCUGGCCUAAUACUGACGCUGAGGUACGAAAGCAUGGGGAGCAAACAGG